UAGAGUUUGAUCAUGGCUCAGAUUGAACGCUGGCGGCAGGCCUAACACAUGCAAGUCGAGCGGUAACAGAGAUUAGCUUGCUAAUCUGCUGACGAGCGGCGGACGGGUGAGUAAUGCCUAGGAAGUUGCCCGGUAGAGGGGGAUAACCAUUGGAAACGAUGGCUAAUACCGCAUAAUCUCUAAAGAGCAAAGCAGGGGACCUUCGGGCCUUGUGCUACCGGAUACGCCUAGGUGGGAUUAGCUAGUUGGUGAGGUAAUGGCUCACCAAGGCGACGAUCCCUAGCUGGUCUGAGAGGAAGAUCAGCCACACUGGAACUGAGACAUGGUCCAGACUCCUACGGGAGGCAGCAGUGGGGAAUAUUGCACAAUGGGCGAAAGCCUGAUGCAGCCAUGCCGCGUGUAUGAAGAAGGCCUUCGGGUUGUAAAGUACUUUCAGUUGUGAGGAAGGGGGUAAGCUUAAUACGCUUACCUCUUGACGUUAGCAACAGAAGAAGCACCGGCUAACUCCGUGCCAGCAGCCGCGGUAAUACGGAGGGUGCGAGCGUUAAUCGGAAUUACUGGGCGUAAAGCGCAUGCAGGUGGUUCAUUAAGUCUGAUGUGAAAGCCCGGGGCUCAACCUCGGAACAGCAUUUUGAACUGGCAGACUAGAGUACUGUAGAGGGGGGUAGAAUUUCA
rnacentral:rRNA from 1 species